GUCAUCACAGAGAACCAGACUGGGCUCCCCGUGCUGCACAGCAAAAGCUUUUAACAGUCAAAAAUGUCACUAAGUGUUGUGAAUUGCUCCAGUAUGAAGUGAAUUUCCUGUCCCUGGAACUCUUUGAGAUAGAAUGCCAAGUAAUUCUGUUACCUAACUGGAACCUGAGCCAUCAACUUCCUGGUGUUAUGCUCGAAGUCCAAGUACCCAAAACUGAGAGAAGAGAGACUGUCCAGUGGGAAGAAGAGAAUGAAGAUUGUCCCAGGGUUUUCUUUCAAAGAAAAUACAGCAAGAUUUGAAGAAACCAAAUAUGGCCAUUGAGUCUACAGUCUGCCCAUAAAUGGUAGUGAUAUAGCUAUUUCUACAACACUGUCUCUGAGUGUGCAACAGAUAAAGAAUAAGAGAGCCUUUGUGUUAAUCACUUAGUCGUGUCUGACUCUGCA
ensembl:lncRNA